AAGGCCCUUAACCUGCAAUUGCUUCAUCCUGGGUAUGAUGUUAAUCUACAUCCAGCUCUGUAAGGAGGUCCUGCAACUUACAGGGAAUAACUUGGGGGUUUGUGGCAGGAUUGGCACUCCAGCCACCGGAAAAAACCUCACACUGGUCCAUUUGGACUAGUGUGAUGCUGAGGUAUCACCCGCUGCAUGGCUGCACUUGGCUUCUCAUCCCUGAGAUGGUUUGUUGUGGUGGGUGCAGCAACAUGCUGUCAUCGCAUGCUUCCUACCUCAUUCAAAUAUACUCCUUAUUUUACUAUUUACAGUUCGGGAAACUUAUUGGCCAGUAGAUGGUGCAGAUGCAAAUUUCUUUUUUACUACUUCGUGACAAAAUCACGUUUUUCAAUCGCAUUCCACAAGUAUAUAUGUGUCUAAUUUCAAUUAUUGUAUUAAAAUUACAGGCCAUAGAAAAACGCUAUACAUACCCAAAACGGAUUAUCAACCUGUAUAGUCAUCCAUAGGCACUGACUUGGGGGAUCAUCCCUCUUAAUAUCGUAUAUAAUAGCUGGUUCACAAAAAACAUGUGAUUAUUAUCUCAUUACAUAAUUUGAAGUGUUUUUUUCUUAGUCUUUAUUUGGAGAACCCCUACCCUCUGUUAAAACAGUUUAUUCUCAACUCCCACUCCAGUUGGCAGCUGAUAAACUCCCCAAAAAUCCUGAAUGCUGUAAUUGCAUAAAAAGGUGCUUCAACAAGGUAUUACUUUAAGGGUGUGCACACUUAUGCAACCAGCAUAUUGUAUUGUUUUACUAUAUUUUCCCCCUAAGAAUUGAAUUGUACAGGUUAUAGGUCACAUUAAAGGUGGGUAAAGUUUUAAAA